rnacentral:rRNA from 1 species
UACAGAGGUCUCAAGCGUUGUCCGGAAUUAUUGGGCGUAAAGCGCGCGUAGGUGGCUUCGUAAGUCCGUUGUGAAAGUCAAAGGCUCAACCUUUGAAAGCCGAUGGAUACUGUGAAGCUAGAGUACGGAAGAGGCGAGUGGAAUUCCUGGUGUAGCGGUGGAAUGCGCAGAUAUCAGGAAGAACACCAAUGGCGAAGGCAGCUCUCUGGGACGGUACUGACGCUGAGACGCGAAAGCGUGGGGAGCGAACAGG